ACAUUUUCUUCUCGAAUGGGAAAGGUUCUCAAUGAUAGUUCACCAUCUUAUUAAAAUUGUUUUAUUAAAGUUGUUUCUGAGAGAAAUGUUUCUCAUUUAUUUUCUUUUUUCAACAAAAUAUAUUCCAAAGUUUACAGAAUUACGGUGAGAUGUAUAGCUAUGGUGAAACAUCUAGAUUAUCUUGGCAAAAGCAGUCUAUUUACAGAAGACCAUUAAUAUUGACAAACAUGGAUAUAGUAUUGACCACAGCAAUGAUAAAAUCACUAACUGUAUCAAGCAGCAGCAGCCUUCUAAUGAUAAUCAAAGCGUUAAUGAAAAUUAUAAUAGAAUCAGAAAGUCCAGUGUCAAAUACUUCUUCACUUCUAUUAUCAGAAAAUAUUGACUUUGUAGUUGAAAUUGUUCCAACCUGUGAGAAAUCUACUCUUAAAACUUCUGUACACAGUAUGAUGAUAGAUGAGCACAGAAUGUAAUGAUGGAAAUAGUAUUUACACCAUAGAACUGCUUUAAAAACAAGCGAACUCAAGCUCGAUAAUAUUCUAAAUAAAUUCUGCUACCUGUUGUGAGAAAACAUCUGUCAAUUUGCCAGCCAAAACUGAGGCAAACAAUUGAAGAAUUAUGGUGGCCUGAUAUCUUCGUUAUGUUGACGGCUAAAAGAGGGCGUGAAAUUGACUGCGUGAUAGAUUCAAAGAUUUUUUGUGCUAUACUGUGGUUACAUGUUAUACAUAUAAUCACACUAGCAACUUAUUUACACAUAUAAGCAAUCUUCUUGGAAAGUAUUGGUAGUUUUACUUAAAAAUUUUUUUAUAAAAUAGCUUGUUUAUUUGAUCUUCUGAUCGCUAAAUAAAAUUUUGUUUUUAAUUCUAUAUAAGUUAUUUUUCCAACUAUUAUUACAUUCUCAAAAAGUUUCAGUUUAAUAACUAUUACUAAAGUUUUUUUUAAAAAGAUAGAGAUCAUAGAAGUUCUUUCAGAAAAUUUUAAUAGCUUUGUGUGCUAUAAGGUCAUUUACUACUGCAUGUUAAGCUUUUCUGGAUUUCAAAAAUGAUAGAGAAAAGUAUAGGGCAACAGUUAGCCUCGGAGACUACAAAUCCUUGCUCAGGAAGUUGGAGGCAUAAUGUUCUGUGUAAAAUUUUUAAAAGGACAUACAGUAGUGUUUUCAUUUUAUCAAGCAUGAAUAGUAAAUUGAAUAAGAUAGAUUCAAACAUUGCAAAUAACAUUUACUUUUUAAUAUUAAAAAUCAGUUUAUUUAACAGAUUUGUUUAGAAAGGAUUUCAAAACCAUUUCCUGUUUAAGCAUAGUAAAGUUAAAAUAGCAGAAUAAUGCUGUUGAUUUUUAUUUAUAUUGGCAUAACGGGCAUGGUCAAUCAAAUUGACCAUGCCCGUUAACUCGUGCCUGCCAAUCAAACUAAUGCAAACAUGUUGAUUAGAAAAUCAUGGUGGCACAACAUAUUUGUUCAUGUUGAUGGAUGAAAUAUUUAUUCUCGGAUUAGAUUAAUUAAAUAUUUAAUUCCUUGCAAGUUCAGGAUGAAACUGUGACAACUAUUGUCCAAUAUUGUUCUAAUAAGAAAUGUCAGCUCCACUUUUGUUAUAAACUAAAACGAGAGAAGUUAUUGACAGACUCAUUGAAGAAAAUUUAAAUCGUGCUCCUCUUGGAUUGGUUGCAGGUCAUGACUUAAAAUGAAGUAUUUAAUGAAA